rnacentral:rRNA from 1 species
AGUGGCGAACGGGUGAGGAUCACGUGAGAAACCUGCCCCAGACUUUGGGAUAACAGUUGGAAACGACUGCUAAUACCGAAUGAUGUCGGAGAACCGCAUGGUUCACUGACGAAAGGUAAUCCGGUUUGGGAGGGUCUCGCGGCCUAUCAGCUUGUUGGUGGGGUAAUGGCCUACCAAGGCAACGACGGGUAGCUGGUCUGAGAGGGUGAUCAGCCACACUGGGACUGAGACACGGCCCAGACUCCUACGGGAGGCAGCAGURGGGAAUCUUGCGCAAUGGGCGAAAGCCUGACGCAGCAACGCCGCGUGCGGGAUGAAGGCCUUCGGGCUGUAAACCGCUUUCAGCAGGAACGAAAAUGACGGUACCUGCAGAAGAAGGACCGGCC